rnacentral:rRNA from 1 species
UGAGGAAUAUUGGUCAAUGGGCGAGAGCCUGAACCAGCCAAGUAGCGUGCAGGAUGACGGCCCUCCGGGUUGUAAACUGCUUUUAGUUGGGAAUAAAAAAAGGGACGUGUCCCUUCUUGUAUGUACCUUCAGAAAAAGGACCGGCUAAUUCCGUGCCAGCAGCCGCGGUAAUACGGAAGGUCCAGGCGUUAUCCGGAUUUAUUGGGUUUAAAGGGAGCGUAGGCGGAUUGUUAAGUCAGCGGUUAAAGGGUGUGGCUCAACCAUGCAUUGCCGUUGAAACUGGCGAUCUUGAGUGCAGACAGGGAUGCCGGAAUUCGUGGUGUAGCGGUGAAAUGCUUAGAUAUCACGAAGAACUCCGAUCGCGAAGGCAGGUGUCCGGGCUGCAACUGACGCUGAGGCUCGAAAGUGUGGGUAUCAAACAGG